CGAAUGUUCAUCACUUGACUGGUGGCUGUAGGUGAAGUUGGUUGCUACCAUAGAAUAUUAGAAUGGCGGUUGGUUUUUUAUUUUAUAACAUCAGUGAAAAGUGAAAAAGUUACCACAAAUGGUUUUCUACAGUAGGGAGGCAUGUGGGUAGAACAACCCCUCUUGGAAAAAUCACCGCCAUUUUGGAGUAACCACAUGGUGAACUCAUAGCCCUUCGACACCUAGGGAAACCACUACAGCCACAGUCAAGUCACCAUGGGAAUAUGUCGAUUUGGGAGCAAGCGAUGGGACAUUCCAGUCCCACUUUUGUCAUCUUUACACCGGUAUCUACGGGAAACAUGGUUCAGCACCUCCUCUGGUGCUAAUUUUAUGGGUUGCAGCAUCAGACUUCACCUUGAGGUCGUCCGAUGAAGGGAUUGGUUUGGGAACAUUUAGUGUUGUGCUUUAAGUAACUAUGGGUUUUUAAGUUUCAGACAUUUGGUUUAAUGAAAUAUGUUUUUUUUUCCAGAUUUAGUUUACCUCUGGUUUUUUUUAUAUAACAUAUUUGUAUAUUAUGGUAUUAAGUUCCCAAACUCAUGUAUAAACCUGCGGUAUCGUAUGUUGAGCUCGGCAUAUUUGCCAAAAAGGUAUUAGGUUUCAUAUUUUAUUGGUAAUUUAGACGAUUUUAUGUCAUUAUAUAAAUUUAGGUUGUAUUAUUUGCUUGUUUCCCAAAUAUUUUUUUGUUAUUCGCUUUAUUCCAUUUGUUCGGAUAAUUUAGGUCAUCGUCAGUAUUUAUCUCAACUUCAUUUCUAUUUCAUUCAUUGUACUUUUAACUUACUUACUUCAUUAGUGUAUUUUCCCUUAGUGAGGCUUGGGCCUAUUUAGUUGUAUUAUUUUCAUCGUUGUCAGUUUCAUUUAGUUGUACGUAGCAAGCGUACUAUGACCAUUUGGUAGAAGACUCAUGUAAGUUGUACCCUAUAUGUAAGCAAGAGGUAUCAAAUUUUGUAAAAGAUAACAUUAGUGUUGUUGUAUUGUAUAAUAUCCUCUUUAAAAUAUAACAUAUGUCAUGUUAGAGUCACAGCAUAAUAUGAACUUGCUUAACUCAGAGAUUGUUAAAAAUCUGGUAGUUAAUUUUAAUAAAUGUUUAUUUAUUUUGUAUAUCAUUUAUUUUUAUUAUUCCUUUAUGUUCAUUAUUACAGGUUUGAUAUAUCUAAUAUUUGACAGCAGUAUAAGAUACCUGGGAAAAUGAUCGAAGAUCAUUUUCAUGGCGCCCAUGAUUUGUUAGAUUUAUUUAUCUUGUUCGUCUUUAGAAAUUAUUCAUCUUCAUUCCUCUUCAGUACAUUAUUCUUAUUUUAUUAUUUCAUCUUUUAGUCAUUAUUACUAUCUACAUAGAGCUACUGUUCUUCGACAGGCAUGCAAACGAGCCGUAUCCAUCCUUGAGUGUCAAGUUGCUCUCUUGCAUCUAUAGCUAGCCAACUCUAUUCAGUUUGCCUCUGUCUCUUCCCACUUUACUUCUAUCCCUUCUAAUCCCCCUUUCUUAAGUACAACUUUAGUAGUAUUUUUUAUUUUUUCUUACUUCGGCUUCUCAACGUAGAAGUCACUGCAUCCUUUUCUUUACACACCCCACUCUGUUUUCAUUUUUAUACCAGUUCUUUUCUUUAGUCUUUUUUUUCCUUACUUCUGUUGGAGUAUAUCUUUUUACUUUCACUCCAACAGAAGUUUUCUUCUUUUUGUUACACUGGCUGCCCAAUGCGUGGUGCCAACCGUUUUAUGGUUCUAAGACAGUAGUUCUUUUAGUUCAUUUUUCUUUUAUUGGAAUUUUCUGUUUUAUUAACUUUUGAUAUCUUUGUAUACAUGUUACUUCUGAUUUAUUUUUGGUCUUUAAAUUUUUAUUAAUACUAAACAGGUAGACUUAUACUGCUUUUGGUUUUGGUUAGUUUAUUUUUGAUACCUCAGUUUCAGUUAUAGUGGUACAGCUCAUAUUUUAGUUUGAAUUUUGUAUUUUUAUUGGAAACUUAUUUGUGUAUUUAGACUGAGUAUACAUAUCUGACAUAUGUUCUUUUAUUAUGGAUUUUUAGUCCUUCUACCAAUGGUAGUAUGUUUGCACGUACAAUUAAUUAUUGACUAUAUGCAUUUUUUUUCUAGUAUGGUUAUAUUUUAUACAUAACUAGAAAUCAUUUUCAGUAUUUAGGUAUUUUAUUUACGCUAUUGAUUUGAUUAUUUUUAUAUAUUUGCUGGCAUUUUUUAUUUGUUGGUGUGUCGCUAAUAUUUUCUCCAUAUGUAUAUUUGUCUUACAAACUUUAGAUUAUAUUUUAUAUUUGUUAUUUUUGAUAUUUGGAUUGUUUGGUAAGACAGGCACACACCACAAAGCAAUAUCAGUCCAGAACAUUAGCGUCUAUAAUACAUGAUACGUUGAAUUCGCAUGGUUCGGAUGAUUACAGAUGUUCAUCCAUAAUUUAUGUUCUUUAAUUGGUAGUGUUAAACAUAACAAUUAUAAUUAUUGUAUGGUAAAGUAGUUCCAUUAUCCAUCUCAGCUUCUAGUUUUGUUAAUUUUGACAAUAAUAUUAUAUCAGUGUGGGUACCAUAAUGUACUUAAUGCUUUUAUAAAUCAGAUACUUUAGGUUGAGAUUCAAAUAUAAAUUCUUUAUUAGUUAGGAAACAUUGAUACUAUUUUUCUAUUAAGUUGUAGAACAAUCUUCAGAAGAAGAUUGCCUUGAAACAGAGUUGUUCAAGCUAAUCUCUUCUUCUGUUUGUCUUUAGCUUAUUAGCUCAAUCUUUAGUAUGGUUAUAAAUUUUAGUCCAAUAUUUUUUUUUAUCAUCUGAUAAUGCAGGUACCCACAUAUAUUGCUUGAUUUCAUCUUUGGCUUAGUUUUGAUGACUUUUAUUUAUUACUUAUUAAUUUAAUUAUUAUGUAGUACUUUAUGUAUGAGUUUAUUUUUUUUUGGUAUUAGGUAUGGUGCAUUUUAAUUAUUAUUAUGAGUCAAUAUUAUUAAUUGCUAAUCCUGUCAGUAGGAUUAUCCAAUUAAUAAAAACUUCACUUGUAUUUUUGUCUAGUUUUUGCACACCUAACCCUUAAGUUAGAAGGGUUGUUGAUUAUUAUAUAUUUAUAUAUAUUUGGAUAGGUGAACUCAUACAAGUACUCUUGUUUAAUAUGGAUAUUAUUAUGGAACUAUGUUGCACUACCAUAUCUCAGGUUAUAUUAUUUUGAAUAUUUGAUUACUGACUAAUUUUUUAUCAUAUUUAUAUCUUGUUAUUGCAUUUGCCAUAUUGGAAAGAUGUGGUUGUUAAUUUGUUAUUGGGUUACUCUAUUGACAUUUGUCACAGAUUUCUUAAGUACAUUAUAAUAAUUCAGACCCUUAUUUCCUAUACAUUAUGAUUCUGGAAUUAGUUUGGAAUUUUGAUGUAAGUAUGUGUGAAUUCUUAAGUCUUUCAUAUUAUUUCCUCUAAGAAUUAGUCUGUGUGUACUAGGAUUUAGUGAAUACGUGGGUUCGAAGUUGUUGUUCGGUACGUGGCCAGUGCUGUUCGAUUAAAUUUCGUAAUCUAUGUCUUUCAUGGCUGAGUAUGCAGAUGUUUAUUUAUCAUAAUAUUUCUGGUCAGCAAAUGACGGGCCCAUUUCCUAACCAUUCUAGUGUUAUUCCCAUUAUUCCAGUUACAUUUUUACCAUUUGAUAGGGAAGUGUUUAGUUUAUAUUAUGUCUCGUACUUCAUAGUAUGUCUGUUGCUGACUAUCCCUAUACAUAGUAGAUCCCUUAAUUUAGUAUUUGAGGUGUUUAGACAAAUGAGUUGUUCAUUUGAGUAUAUUCCCAUUUCUUUCCUUAGGCAUUAGUUUUGUUAUUUAGAUUUUGGAACAUUUCCUGAAUAAUUCCAUGUAUGUGAGAAUGCAUGAAUCUGCAGUUUUAUUUAAAACUUGUUGCUCGUUCUCGUCAAUUUUUUUUUCUUAUCACUUAUCCUAUUUUUUUUUCCUAUCACCUAUCACAUAUUUUUUUUGCCUAUCACUUAUCAUAGUGUCAUAGAACUUAUGAGUUCAUCAUGUAUUCUUUUUCUUUCUUACUUAUUCUUACAUUAUUGGUACUUUAUCUACGUCUGGUUAUUCUCACAUAUCUGUUGUAGCAACAUGCUAUAGUUCGCGAAUACCAGCACGAAUUAGUUUAUGUAGUUUCUAUAAUAUUUUAGUCAAUACACAUUAGGUAUUUAUCUUACUUUUGAUUUAGUUAGGUUACAUCUCUGUUACUUAGUCUGUUAGCAAUAUUUAUUCUGACUUAUUUUGAUUACUUAGUUUGGAUAGGUUCAUAUUACCGGAUGAGGGUGUAUGUAGACCUAAUUUAUUUAUUUUGUUCAGUAUUAGUUACCAUUGGAUCCAAUAAUUUAGUAUAUUUAGUAUUAGUAAGAAUUGGUCCAUAAAUUUGCCUGAUCGUUCUUCUUUGGAUAUACUCCUAUAUAAAUCUGGUGUCCAUUGAUAGUCCGAUUCUGGAUAAGUGUCCGAUUCUUCAUUUAUUUUGUGUAUUUGGUUGGAUAGGUUCGUAUUACCGGAUGUGGGUGUACGUAGACCUGAUCUGUUUAUGUGGUUUAGUAUUGGUGUGAAUUGGUCCAUAAAUUUGCCUGGUCGUUCUUCUUUGGAUAUGCCUUUUAUGAAUCUGGUGUCCACUGAUAGUCCGACUUUGGAUUAAGUGUCCGAUUCCACAUCUAUUUUGGUUAUUGAGUUUUGGAUUCCUUUGGUAUGUUUAUUAUUGGUAUUAUUUGACAUUAGUGAGAGUUGUUCCAUAAAUCUUCCUGAUUGUUCUUCUCUGGAUAUACUAUUAUGAAUCUGGUGUCCAUUGUUAGUUCAAUUUUGGAUUAAGUGUUCAAUUCUUUACUUAUUUUAGUUACUGAUUUUUUUUAUUCACUUUGGUACAUUUACUUUUGAUAUGGUUCGAAUUGGCUCACACCUUUCCUGGUUGUUCCGUCCUUGGAUAUAUCCUUUAUAAAUCUGAUGUCCAUGGAUAGCUCAAUUUUGGUUUUAGUGCCCAAUUCGACACUUAGUUAUUAGUAUGAACUUUAGUACAAUAUUUAGUUUGUUUGGUUUUUGAAGCAAUUCAUUAAUAUUGGUAACAGAGAGUAACAUAGUAACAUUUUAGCAUGAGUUUGAGUCAUAUAUUUUUUUAUUUCUUUUUCCUUGAACCUUAGUUUGUUCUUAUUAGGUAAUCUUGCGAAUCAACGUGGAUUGUUAGACUAUUGUAAAUUUAGUUGUUAAUAUUUUGAAGUUAAAAAAAAAAAAAAUUUUUGAGAAAAUUUUUUUUCCCGAGUAGAAGGGGAUUGUAACGGUCACGUUACUAACUUAACUCUUUAAUUAUUUUUAUAAUUAUUUUCCCUCGCUCUCCCAGUUAAAUUCUCUAAUUUCUCGUAUAGGACCACUGACGUGACGUCAUACCUCGGUGAUGGAACGUACUUCACCUAUCGAGAAUUAUUUCGCGUUAUGUGAGUUUGACGUCGUAUUCUUGGAAGGAGAGACGAAUGUUCAUCACUUGACUGGUGGCUGUAGGUGAAGUUGGUUGCUACCAUAGAAUAUUAGAAUGGCGGUUGGUUUUUUAUUUUAUAACAUCAGUGAAAAGUGAAAAAGUUACCACAAAUGGUUUUCUACAGUAGGGAGGCAUGUGGGUAGAACAACCCCUCUUGGAAAAAUCACCGGUAAUAAAAUCCUUUUUAUAAUAUUUUUUUUUGUUAGCCUUGAAUAUUAAAAUAUUAGUCCCAUUGUUAAAAUUUCUUAGUCAACUCAUUAUUUGGAUUUUAUGUAGAUUAUUUCGAUUAUUAAGUAUUCAUUCAAAGAAAAUUAUACAUUAAUAUUUUUUUUGGUUAGACAUAACCAAACAUAUGCAGUCCUCAAAUUAAUAUUGGAAAUAAGUAUCAUUUCUCUGUAGGUUUUUGAACAUCCAAUAUUUUAUAAAUUCAAUAUUUUUACAGAUAUUUCCUUAAAUUAAUCAUAUUCAAAUUACAAAUUCCAUGUCAUUUGUUCAUGUAUUCACACCCAAAAUAGUUCAAGGUUACUUGAGAUUGGUUUUUGUUACAUUUUUAAUGGUCGGUUUUUCUAUACUAUUGCUUCUAAAAAGUUCCUCAAUUAUUUCUUCUUCCCUUUACUUUUUGCUCAUGUUUGAAAUGAGAAAUAAAACUGGGAAUAUUUUUUAGCCAUUUUGGAGUAACCACAUGGUGAACUCAUAGCCCUUCGACACCUAGGGAAACCACUACAGCCACAGUCAAGUCACCAUGGGAAUAUGUCGAUUUGGGAGCAAGCGAUGGGACAUUCCAGUCCCACUUUUGUCAUCUUUACACCGGUAUCUACGGGAAACAUGGUUCAGCACCUCCUCUGGUGCUAAUUUUAUGGGUUGCAGCAUCAGACUUCACCUUGAGGUCGUCCGAUGAAGGGAUUGGUUUGGGAACAUUUAGUGUUGUGCUUUAAGUAACUAUGGGUUUUUAAGUUUCAGACAUUUGGUUUAAUGAAAUAUGUUUUUUUUUCCAGAUUUAGUUUACCUCUGGUUUUUUUUAUAUAACAUAUUUGUAUAUUAUGGUAUUAAGUUCCCAAACUCAUGUAUAAACCUGCGGUAUCGUAUGUUGAGCUCGGCAUAUUUGCCAAAAAGGUAUUAGGUUUCAUAUUUUAUUGGUAAUUUAGACGAUUUUAUGUCAUUAUAUAAAUUUAGGUUGUAUUAUUUGCUUGUUUCCCAAAUAUUUUUUUGUUAUUCGCUUUAUUCCAUUUGUUCGGAUAAUUUAGGUCAUCGUCAGUAUUUAUCUCAACUUCAUUUCUAUUUCAUUCAUUGUACUUUUAACUUACUUACUUCAUUAGUGUAUUUUCCCUUAGUGAGGCUUGGGCCUAUUUAGUUGUAUUAUUUUCAUCGUUGUCAGUUUCAUUUAGUUGUACGUAGCAAGCGUACUAUGACCAUUUGGUAGAAGACUCAUGUAAGUUGUACCCUAUAUGUAAGCAAGAGGUAUCAAAUUUUGUAAAAGAUAACAUUAGUGUUGUUGUAUUGUAUAAUAUCCUCUUUAAAAUAUAACAUAUGUCAUGUUAGAGUCACAGCAUAAUAUGAACUUGCUUAACUCAGAGAUUGUUAAAAAUCUGGUAGUUAAUUUUAAUAAAUGUUUAUUUAUUUUGUA